rnacentral:rRNA from 1 species
AGAACGAACGCUGGCGGCAUGCCUAACACAUGCAAGUCGAACGAGACCUUCGGGUCUAGUGGCGCACGGGUGCGUAACGCGUGGGAAUCUGCCCUUGGGUUCGGGAUAACAGUUGGAAACGACUGCUAAUACCGGAUGAUGUCUUCGGACCAAAGAUUUAUCGCCCAGGGAUGAGCCCGCGUCGGAUUAGCUAGUUGGUGGGGUAAGAGCCUACCAAGGCGACGAUCCGUAGCUGGUCUGAGAGGAUGAUCAGCCACACUGGGACUGAGACACGGCCCAGACUCCUACGGGAGGCAGCAGUGGGGAAUAUUGGACAAUGGGCGAAAGCCUGAUCCAGCAAUGCCGCGUGAGUGAUGAAGGCCUUAGGUUGUAAAGCUCUUUUACCCGGGAUGAUAAUGACAGUACCGGGAGAAUAAGCCCGGCUAACUCCGUGCCAGCAGCCGC